rnacentral:rRNA from 1 species
GACGAACGCUGGCGGCGUGCUUAACACAUGCAAGUCGAACGGUAAGGCCCCAGCUUGCUGGGGUACACGAGUGGCGAACGGGUGAGUAACACGUGGGUGACCUGCCCCGCACUUCGGGAUAAGCCUGGGAAACUGGGUCUAAUACCGGAUAGGACCGCACCGUGAGGGUGUGGUGGAAAGUUUUUCGGUGUGGGAUGGGCCCGCGGCCUAUCAGCUUGUUGGUGGGGUAAUGGCCUACCAAGGCGGCGACGGGUAGCCGGCCUGUGAGGGUGGACGGCCACAUUGGGACUGAGAGACGGCCCAGACUCCUACGGGAGGCAGCAGUAGGGAAUCUUCCGCAAUGGACGAAAGUCUGACGGAGCAACGCCGCGUGAGUGAUGAAGGGUUUCGGCUCGUAAAGCUCUGUUGUUAGGGAAGAAACAGUACCGAACGAACUAGGUCGGUACCUUGACGGUACCUAACCAGAAAGCCACGGCUAACUACGUG